UGUCUAAGAGCAGCUGUCGCUUCUGUUCCCUGGAAUCUCUUUAAGCCUGAGAUCAGACACAAGCUCCAGGCUCCUGAUCCCAGCUUGUCCUUGAAGUAUGAGGCUGGUGACUGGAGUAGCUGUGCUUCUGACCUGGGGGACUGUGAUUGAGGCUGAGAUUGACCAGCCCAAAUCCAAAGAUGUUGCUGAAGGAGAAGACGUAACCCUGCCUUGCAACCACGCUACCUUUGGUGGAAGUGACUAUAUACACUGGUAUCGGCAAAAGCCCAGUCAGAGUCCACAGUACAUCAUUCAAGGCUUACAGGACACUGUGAGCAACCACAUGGCCUCUCUGACCAUAGCGACAGACAGAAAGUCCAGCACCUUGGUCUUGCCCCGGGUCGCCCUGAGAGGCAGCGCUGUGUACUACUGCGCCCUGACAGAGGCACAACGGGACCGACGGGGCUGCACCUGCGCAGUAUCUCCCUGGUGGCAAGGAGGGGAGGGACGGGGAGGCUGCAGCCACUGGGAGCAAAUCUAGAGCCACCUAGAAGGAGAGUCAGCAGUCAGAGGGAAAGUGAGGGGAAGGAAAGAGUGAGAAUAUGGAUAAAGCAGAGAAGACAGAGAGGACAAGGAAUAAGAGCUUCACUGGUUGAUGUGGCUGAGACGAGUUAUGAGGAGUCUACAAAUCAUGAUUUAAAUAUAGCAACACAGUGAAGAGGCACCAAUAAUUUGCCAUGGCUCCUUAUCUUGUCAAUAGAAUGCUGGUUUCAGUGUGUUUGUCUCCACAUAAAAGGUGGGAAAAAUACAAAUAAUCCAACUUGUCCCAAAGGCGUGUUUCAUUCGGACCCAGGGCAAGCCCACGUUCUGAAAUGCACAUUAUUACAGUUGUUCUGCUUCCCAGAAAUAAAGUAGCCUUUCUCUGAGAAAAAUCUGAAAUGUUUCUUAUUGCUACUCAG